rnacentral:tRNA from 1 species
UCAUCGGUGGUUCAGUGGUAGAAUGCUCGCCUGCCACACGGGCAGCCCGGGUUCGAUUCCCGGCCAAUGCA